rnacentral:rRNA from 1 species
AUUGAACGCUGGCGGCAGGCUUAACACAUGCAAGUCGAGCGGUAGCACAGGGGAGCUUGCUCCCUGGGUGACGAGCGGCGGACGGGUGAGUAAUGUCUGGGAAACUGCCUGAUGGAGGGGGAUAACUACUGGAAACGGUAGCUAAUACCGCAUAACGUCGCAAGACCAAAGAGGGGGACCUUCGGGCCUCUUUCCAUCAGAUGUGCCCAGAUGGGAUUAGCUAGUAGGUGGGGUAAUGGCUCACCUAGGCGACGAUCCCUAGCUGGUCUGAGAGGAUGACCAGCCACACUGGAACUGAGACACGGUCCAGACUCCUACGGGAGGCAGCAGUGGGGAAUAUUGCACAAUGGGCGCAAGCCUGAUGCAGCCAUGCCGCGUGUGUGAAGAAGGCCUUCGGGUUGUAAAGCACUUUCAGCGAGGAGGAAGGUGGUGAGCUUAAUACGUUCAUCAAUUGACGUUACUCGCAGAAGAAGCACCGGCUAACUCCGUG